CAUAGUAUAUGACACUUAUUUUGGAAAAAACAUGACCACUGCAUUAAAUGAUUUGUUUACAUGCGUUUCAAUUCUUGCAACAGUUAAGUGCACUGCAGUUGCAAGUAGAAGAGAAAUAGUGUGCUUUAAAGACGGAACUCGUUUGUAACCGAAAAAUAAAAUUCACACGACGUUGUCGCAGUUGAUUAUGGGAAACACUCAAAACGAGUUUGAUUGUUGUCGUCUGUUUGUUUGUUUGUUGCUUGCCUUUGUUGUCAUGGCUGUUGUUAUUGUUGUCAUUCUUGCGACGGUAAUUCACGUGUUGCAUGUGACAGGCUUUGUUUUGCGGGGUAUAUCUACUAUUCAGACAUGUUAUAAUCAAAGUGUAUCCAUAAACCAAAGCACAAUGUACGGUAUGGGUAAUAAAUCACUUAUACUAAAUCUAAUCGAUCAUAGUGGGACCAGAAAAAUGGGCUUAACCCGAGAGCAAUUUGCCAUGAUUAAAGUCGGGAGUGUAUGGUUAAUAGAAAAUGGAAUUAUAUAUGGCAUCAAAUAGCUGGCAUUCCAGGAAAACACUUCUGAUUGCUAUCACUAAUAGGUGGGUAAUUUAAUCAAUAAGCUAUUAGCUUAAGGAUUCACUAGUAAUAAAUAAAUAUAAUUUUAUAAUAAAUAUACAGCGUAUUUUCCAAACUUAACUCCCUUCAUAGUAUAUUUAGAUUUGCAUAAAGCUGCCGCCGUAAUUUGCACCUUGUGUUUUUAAUUCCAAGGGUGCUCAUACAUUGAAUUUUGUUUGGCUAACAUUUUGUCUGAAGCUUUAUGAGCUGUAAAUUGGUUGAAUUAUAAGCAAUUAUAUAUAAAUGCCAUUGGCAGCAACUCCACACGAUUCGCGGCAUCGUGGAACGCAUUUUGCCAGACAAUUUCAUUAACAGCAAUUGCCGCCGGGUUUUGGGGGGGUUUGUGUGUGCGGGGUGUGCUGGUUGUGUGUGUGUGAGUGUGUGGAUAACCGCUUCAUUUCCAUUAGCCAUACAAUUUGAUUAAGUUCAGAGUGCGACAGCGUCGCAGCAGAGCUCAAAUUCAAGCCAGAUUACAAUAAUUUCUUUAUCAAGCCAAACAACCGACGCACCGACACGCAACAAUAAUAACAAUAACAGCACGAACCACCGAAGGCAGAAGGUCGUUGCAUGUCCAACAAUGGGGGGAGAAACCUUAAUUUGGCAGGAAAAUGUGAAAAGGGGUGGGGCGGUGGUGCCAGUGGUGCGUUGGAGCCCAGUUGAGUUCCUUGUGCAUACGCCAAUGGAGACGUGGACAAUGACAACGAAACGGAAACUAGCGGAAAUCAUUAGAGUCUGCACAAAUGACUUCAAGAUACUUUUGCCCAGCCAACUCCGAGCACUUUUUCCCCACUUCGCACAGUGGGUCGAACGAGCACAAAACAGGAAGACCCAAAUCAACGCCGCAAGGAAAAUGCUGUCCAGAAUUGGGUGAAUUUUGACAGCAUAAACACACGGUGAGGAAACUAUUUGGCAAAAUUGCUAGUCACCAUUACAAUGUGCAUAUUUAUGUUUAGCAUAUAUACUAAACCCUUUACGUUGCAGAGUUCACUGUUCCAGCAAGUGGAUAUCCUCCAUUGAAAUUCAUUGUUGCGAAUUUUGGCUUUAGGCGGUAAUAAAACAAAUAUCAAAUACGCAUACAGGCACUCAAGAAGCAAUUUAAUUGUAAAUUGUUGCAGAAUUUUAUUUCGAUGUGCAGUGAAGCGCACGAAUAGAAACAAUUUUGUAAUUACAACUUGCAAUUGAAAUUCACAUUAAAUAGUUUUUAGGCAAUAAAAAAGGUAUAAAGAGGAAAUCAAACAACACGCCCUGUUUUGCAAUAUUUUUAUAGCAAAUAAACAAGAAAGUAAUGAAAUGCAAACCAUUUAAUAGUUAUUAAAGAAGAGAUAUAAAAUGUUUUGCAGGCUAUAAAAAAAGCAAUUAAAAAUAAGCAUUUGAUAUUGGAAAUUCCGGGUAAUUGAAUAAGUAGCUUUUUAGCUUUGUUACUGAAAUCUUGUUAAAGCAAAUUAAUUGUCUUUUUAUUGGUAACUGAAAAUAUCGCUGUCCUGAUAUAUCACAUUUUCCUACCAACUUUGGCCACAGUGCGUCCCUUUUCUAUACCCAUUGUUCUGCGGGGAUAUGGCCAUAUAUAUAUGUAUAUAUAGUGUAUUUUUUUGGCUGCCACAAAAGUGAACGAGAUGGAACGGGACAGAUUGUAGUUCUUGUUGUGAUUUUGCUAGUUGCCAGCAGCUUGUGCCGGCAUCUACUUAAAUAUCCGGUAUCAUUAUUAUAAAAAUCAAGUUGGGAGCCAAGCGGACGCACUGGGCCAGGAAGCAAUUAGGGCUGCAGAGCAUAAUUGGUCGAUUUUUUUCCUUUUUGCAGCUUUAGCAACGGAGCAGGGCAGCCAGGACCCUAGCCCCAAUUAACAGAGAUUAAAGGUGUGAAAAGCUUUGGCUUUUGUCUUGCGAUUAGCCUGGGAAUACACACGCAUAUACAAAUAUACUAUGUAUGUAUACAAAGUGAGGGCGCAAUUUCCCAACAAGCUUGCACAUUGAAAGCUUGGCAAAAGCAGGUUAAAAAAAAUGAAGGACCCUAAAUAAAAAUCAAGCAGCCGUCAACGGGGCGUAUGCGCCACGUGCAAAUGAGAUGCCAGGUGCUGCAAAAGCUGACCGGGGAUGGCAAGUAAAUAAAAAGCAGAUAAAAAUCAAAUUAACAAAACGAAGUGAAGAGAAGAGAAACUGCGCUCAAGUAAAUAAAACUGCCCCACUUGGCCAAGGCGAGGCCGAUAAAAAAUGUUUUCCGCGCAGCGAGAUGCAGAGACCCAAUUUAUAUAUUUCAGCAUUUGUUAUGGCUCUCCGCGUGCCUCGUUGGCUGAUUGCAAAUGAAAUGAAUUUGGCCACUGAAAGUUUAGCCAGCAGAGAUGGGCAAGGACAUCAGAUGCGUGGACGAAUAUAAAAAUACGAAAUACAAAAUACAAAAUAACAUUUCACAAUGGGCCGCCGGGACGUUUACCAAAUACAUUUAAUGACUUUCGCCCGUCCAGAGAGCAAUGCUGAUAAAACGCUAGCCACCUCCCCAACCAAAAAAUAAAAGGUCCUUCAAAAUGAGCAAGGCCAAAAAGUGUCCUUAAUCUGCUUAAAAGCACAGUGCCACCGUGCUCGUGAUACCUAUCAGCCCAAAACGGACGUGUGCCGCGAGCAUCAAAAUUAACGGCAAGAAAUUUAAAAUGUAAUUGACAGGCCAACUGACAACAUGAACGGAUGGACGGCAUUCGGCCUCCAGAUCGACCAACAGCCAACGGGCAGUUAUUAAAACGCGGGCCAGGCGCCACGCACAACAACACAGUACACCGUGCGUAUACGCAAUACGUAAGGCAGUGGCAAUGAGGAAACGGAAAUGCAGCAUUAAAUGAAAAUAAAACAGCCUGGCAGGCAAAACGCGACACGGCGCUUAAGGACACUUUGGCAGAGCGCUCCGCUCGUUGUGGUUCGCUCGGCGUAAUUGCUCUCAGCGGAGAGCUUAACGCCGCGUCACCCGCACCACCAUACGCACCACCGAUGUCCCUGGUCCUUUGGUCCGUUUGUCAAUACCUUAUUUGCGUUUAUCGCAAUCAUUUCGUUGCCCGCUUUUCACCCAGUUAAUAUGGCAAUUUACAUUUACAUUAUUUUUAUUACCCCACCGCACUCGGUCCCGUACUGGUCCCGUUUAAAAAGGAUAGAUUUAUAAGCACACAUAAAUAUGUACAUACACUUUGUCAUAAUCGAGUUGUGCACUUGUCAGGCUCUCAACUCGGCUCGCGGUUAUCGCAUUUAAUUACUGCCCCGAAUAAAUGAAAAAGUUAAAUAUUUUAAACGAGCAACAAAUGCCAGCAGCCCCUAAUGCUGCUGCUGCUGCUGCUGCUGUUGGUGCUGAUGCUGCUGCGGACGCCCUGGGCCAUGGCAAUUAGAAGCAAUUGCUACUCUGCCAGCUGGCAAACUGGCAAGCUAGCAACUACCAACUACCGACUGCCACCGGGCUGCAAUUUCACUUAUUUCACGUGCAACUUGGCAACCGACGAGCGGCGACGACAGGCGACAUCAACGAUGACUGCUGCCGCUUCCACAUCCACAUCCAGAUUCACAUUCACAUCCACAUCUAUAGCCACUGCCACUGCACUUGGCUCCCAAAUAGCAGUCCUAGCACUAAAUACUGACGGCCCAGUGAAAGGUGAAGGGAACUGAGAGCUGGGAGCUGCGAACUGGGAACUCGGAACUUGGAACGGAGCUGGGUGCAAUGUUGCAGGCGGAAUGCUGCAUGUGGCAGAGGUAACAAUAAACGUAAACCCAUGACUGCCACUCGACGGAAGCAGCGAGGCGGCAGCAUGCGAAGAUUUCACUUUCAUGUUUAACUUGGACCAGCAUACACUUGUUAAAACAGUGCAGCUUGCAUAGGUUCAAACUUCUUGAAAAUGUUGUACUAGCAUAGGUUGGCCAUGAAUGAUAGCAAAUAUAAUAUAUUUCAUAUUAAUGUAGUCAGAACAGGAUGUUGAACCUUAAUCACUUAAUUAACAAUAUAGAACUUAAUUUUCUAGCGCUUUAAGUGUCGGUUUAACCUAAGCAGGUUUGUCUGUAAGUACACAUAUCUCUUCGCACCAUCUGGUGUCUCCACCUCUCGAGUUUUUGCCUCGCACGUGCAUUUGUAAAUUUGUUCGGCUGGGGCAACAAUGCGUCGGCGGUGGCUCCUCUUCCACCUUUGGCGACACACUUUGAGUCUUGAAUUACCCUCAGGCAUGCGUGGCGUAUUCGGUUGCUGUUUGACAAUUUUUGCUGCUGCUUUUUCUUCUUGCACACCGCGUUUUUAUCUGGGAAGCUGGCAUUAUGUGACACAGAGGGGAAAAGCGUUUUGUCAUAAGCAACGGAAAGAAAACGGCGAAGUAAAACAGGAAAAGUAAAGAGACCGAUGCAACGUUGUUAAAGAAAAGUGCAAGCGACACACUGUGUCCACUUAAAGCAGGCAACAAUGUGUGCCAACCUGGGAUUGGGAGCCCCGUGACCAGGCUGCAAGCAGCAGUAACUUUGGAAAUUGCAUCUGCAACUGCAACAUCAACAGCAGCAGCACCAACAUCAGGCAACAAUUUUGAGGCAUUGCAUAAGAGGCCCCAAGGCAUCGAGGAGCCCACGAUCCACGAGAUCGAGCGUGGGAGAAGAGCUUAAUUAUCCAAAAAUGCAAAACAAAGUCGGGAAGAGCAAAAAGGUUCGUUGAUAUGCGAUAACUUCAAGUGGACCCAUAAAGUUCCCUGAUCAUCUCCAUUGAUACUCAAGCUUAUGUGAGGGAAAUCCUUAAGACAAUGGUUCAUGGUAGAAAUAUGUGUACUUUGUAUAUAAGAGGAACUGCCUGCGUUUUUUAUAAAAUGUCGCGACUUCAUUUGGCACGGAAAGCCAUUAGUUAGUAACCUUCAAAUUUCAAAAAUUUUUAUAUAUAAAAGAUAUACCAAGCAGUAACCAUUUAAAUAAGUGCUUGUACGAAUUGUUCAUAGCCACAAGCAGUGAAAUUUGUAAGCCACAAGUUUUGUUUAUGUUCGAUAAAUUUUCCAUUUGAAAUCGGAGCUGUCAAGGGGUGGUGGUGGUUCAUCGACAAAACCAUAUGAUAAGCAACAUAAUCAAUAACUCAAGUGAACUUUUUGCCCACUUUCCAUUGAGACCCUCUGUUGAAUGGAAUUUUAUCGCCGGGAGAACGACCAGCAGCACCCAGAAACAAACCCAGAAGCCCGGUAACAUGCUCCUCCCAUCCCAGCAACCGGCAAACAAACAAACAAAACAACAAACAAGCAACUGCAACUGCAAUCAAUUGCACCUUCUGCCGCAUGAAUGCGUGACUGAAUAGCAGCACAUAUGCGAUGGACCCAUCUGCUGUCCGAGGGGCUAGGGGCUAGCCGCACUAUCUGCUUUCCCAUGGGGCUCCCCCAUCCGGAUCCUCCCAGGAUCCAACCCUCACCUUCCCCCCUCGGAUGCAACGCCCACCCUUUGACCCCUCUUAGCUGACCAGUGCGGUAACUGAAAUAGCAGCAUCGAGUCGGGUUUUAUUUUCCUCUAGCCGCACUCAGUUUUUUGUGCAGCUGCAACUGCAAUUCAAGUGCAUUGCAAUGCGCAUCCCACUGACUCGAGUGCAGGGAAACCAACAUUUAAUAUUAUUAUUUAAUUCUAAAUUUCAGCAAAAUGCCAUUAAUUAGCAAUUAUGCUUGUAAAGCCUCAAGCAUCAAACUUAGAUAAAAAAAAAGUUUGGCAAUUAUUGUACUUUUAAUUGCUUCGUAUUAUAUCUCUAUAAAACACCAAUAAUUCAAUUCAAUUGACAAGUGCAGAGUAUAAUAUUUAAAUAUUUUUUUUAAAUAAUUCAAUUGAAUAAAAAUAGAUUAAACAUCAUAAUGCCUAGUAUUUAAAUAAAUAACUUUUUUUCCUGUGUGGUCGUACAACUGGAAAAAGGGAAAGGAAACACUGAGUGGAGGCGGCUGUGAAUGUAAGUGAAUGAAUAUGGGGGCGUGGCAGGCGAGCGUAUCCGAAGGGCGUAAACGUAAGUGCGCGUUAUGUUUGCCAACGCCAAAUGAAAAGGACCGGAACCGUGAAAAAAAAACAGAAAAAGCGGGCAAAUGCAAAUCACACACACUCGCUACCUUUUUACCUCCACCGUGUCUAGUGUCUGAAAAGGUGGAACUGGGUGGUAAAUGGCGGGGGGGAGGGGGAGCAAAGGGAUGGAGGCAUUACAAUAAAGACUCUUACUUUGUGGCUGGUGUUGCCGGGCCCUCGGGGAACCUUGACAAUGAUAUUGAUUUGCUGUCAUUAUUGUUAGUUUUUUGCUGCCCGGCGGCAACUCUGCUCUGUUCGGAAUGGAGCGUGUGCGAAAACUGUUUGUGCUCACUGUCGCCAGCCAUCGAUCCUUGGGGCGGCCUUCGUCCUGCGGCGGCGAAGUUACAAAAUUUGAAUUUACGCUGAGCGUUCGAUAGGCGAAAUUGAAAUUGUUAUUUGUUGAGGCGACUGUUUCGUGGGGCGGCAGACGGUAGACGACGGUGCACGGGGGCUGCAGAAAAAAUAGUAAAACUUCGCUGCCAGAGUUGCCAACCCCACCAUUGAGUUGCCCUAGGGGAUGACCACUCAGCGUGGCCACGAUUCGUGUAUCUCGCACCGAAGACUUUUUGGUGAAACAUUUUGGCACGGCAGCAAGCCCGCAUCCACCCACUCCGACAAAUUCAACCGAGCAAUUUCCCCCUGUUAGUUUUCUCUGGCAGUUAUUGACUUUUUCCAGCGGCAAAACAAAUGCAAUUUGCAUUUUGAUAACAUUUCCCAGCAGCUGUGUUUUAAUUGCAUUCGUUCAAUGCAAGUGUGCUCCACCUUUCAUGGUGGUCCGGAUGCCCGGUCCUUCAGAGUCCGGAGUCCCAAGUCCCGAGUUCGGUAAAAGACGUAACAAAAUCAAUUGUCAGGUCAUCUGUCAAUUUAUUUGUUAUUUCCCGCCAACUGUCAGCUGUCAGGGCUGCACGAAGCCCGAGCCGAAAGGCAAGCCAGCCAGCCAGCAAACAAAACAAACACAAAACGUAAUGCAUUUAAUGUGCCAAGCGACUUGCAACAAAAUUACAGUCCCGGACGGUCGAACAAGAAGACGGUAGCGCCGACAAAAUAAACUCCACGAUGCACAGUGCAGCAGGUCCUGCGAAAUCCCGACCAAAAAUGGAUGUACCAACUUUCUUAAGGACUUGCGAGAUUGCGUUUGUACUGGCUUUAAAAGAUUAUAAUUGCAAUUUGCAGAAAGCUUUUUCUGCAUGCAACUUUCACAGUUAAGUUUAAUGAUCGCUUUGUACCACUGUGCAGCUUCGGAAAAGUUCAAGAGUUCGCUUUGUCGCGCUUGUGCAAACAAAUGAUUUGUUUUAGCCGCUCUUUCAACUGCCCCGCCCCCUUUUGCCGCCCAGGUGUAAUUGCCACACGACCAAAAGGCGUAGCGAAAUUAGGCAAACGUUUUGGCCAAGUUUGUUUUCCCUUUUGGCCGGUUUGUUUGCCUUUUGCCAUUUGGAAAUUAUCGAGUUGUCGCCCAGCUGUGUGCGGCGACGACGUUCAUUGGAAAUGCAAAUUUCCCGGCCAACAGAAGAAUCUCAAGUGCCUGGCGCCAAAUAAAUGAUUGGCAUUAUGUAGUUUGACCUUAAUUAGUUAACAAUGGAAAUCAGGGCAUUAUUUUUGUUUUCCCGAAGGCGGUAGGCGGUGUGGGUGGUAAUCUGGGUAAGCGUGGGAGGCCCGUAAGAAUUAACCGCACCAAUUACACGCACAAAAUGCCAAGCAAUUAAUAAAAAGCGUGGUGGGGGGGGAGGAAAAAUCGGAAUCUGAAUUGUGAAAAUCUAUUUGAGGGCGCCGGCAUUUUCAGUUUGCCAUAAAUCAAAUUAAUUGAAAUUAAUGGUUCACCUCGCUUCAAGUGCGCUCACGCAAAUAUUUGCCCAGCAGAUUUGGUUGGUUUUUUUUUACGUUUUUUGGGUAACGGGUGGUAUUUGCGUUACCAGGAUUGGAGACUGAAUGGUGACCAUUAAGCAUCGGGGGCUGGCCCACUAAUUAUUUUAGCUUACACUCGGCCCGAGCGUUAAUCCCUUUGAAGCCAAGCGAGAAAAAAGGGAUAAAGCCAAGGAUUGAAGAGGUUUAUGCGGGUAAUUAAUGUGACAUCUGAUAGGACUUGUAAUGGCAAUUGCGAUUGUUUAUGCAAAUUUUCGAAACUGGCGAUGGAUUUGCUUUAUGCAAAUGUUCAUUCAACAAUUGGCUGUAAAUUAAAGGGACAUUUUAAUGAGACGUUAAACAAUUAAAUAGCUGAUUUAUUUGGGCUUGAUGUCCAACCUAUUAAGCAUGCCAAUUAGAAUACAUUUUAUUUUAUUUAUAUGUUUUUUUGCUGUGUUUUGUAUUUAAAUGUCAUUCAAUACUUUUUGACUUCUGUGCUAAUUAGGUUAAUUAGAUGUCUCGUCUCACUUUAAAGUAAUUUUUGUAUUUAACAAAUGGAUUUUUAAUUUAAGUGUAAUGGUAAGUUUAAACAUUGUUCAUGAACGGAGUUCACCCAUGAACGAUCUAUGCAAUGGCACAUCCUUUUCAUUAAGCUCUGUCCCAGCUUUAUUUGAACUUCAAAGGAACGUUUGGUAAGGACUGGCGGUGGCGAAUUAAUGAAAUGUUUGUCAAGUGCGGUUUUCUGGCUGUCUGCCCCACUCUCCGGCUUUGGUUGACUCAUUAAAAUGAUUUAAUAAGGCCAAGCCGAGAGUCCGUAAACCGAUUUCCCCGUUCAAUGGAAGUAAGCCACAUUGGUAUCAAACCAAACAGACAGACAGCGAUGUAAUUCAUCAGAAAUAAACGUGGUCAUUAUGUAGUUAUAGCGCUGGGACGGCAAGCACCGCACCCAUGAAUAAUGAAUAAAGCUAGCAAACAGAUUUUUGCCGCUUUGCCAAAUAAUUUUCCGGGCCUAUUUACAUAUUCAAAAUUCAUGGGACCGCCAGCCAAAUCGCAUUCGAAUUCAAAUUCAUAUGCCAUAAUGGCAAGACAUAUGGAAAACUUGUGGGUGAGGUCGUGCCUACACAUACACAUACUCGCAAAUACAUAUAUAGAUGCUUCGAAAACAUCGCAUUUUCCAAUCAAUUGAAUUUCAAUUUGCAUAAUUUUCUGUAUGUCAAAGUAAUGUGUACGAAAUUCGAUUAUUUUCCAUUGAAUUGAGCUGAAGACAUUACGAGUGGACUAAAAGUGGACAAAGCAGAUACCCAAGAAGAAGCUUCGUCUUCAGACAAAGGGACAGUAGACAGUGGACAUUGGACGGUGAACAGGACACAGGACACGUGAAUAUGCCAACACCCAAAUGGGUGUGUCGUGGAGUGGACAAACAUUAUUGCAGAAUUUAUUUGUAUUUCAGCUAGUGCGUGGUGGGGGUGGUUGUUUGGGUCAAAGGGCCGGCCGACCCACAGACCCACAGAUACACCCGCCCACCCAUACAUUGUGACCUCAAAGUAACCCAAAACUCCAAAACGUAUAAAAUGCAGAAAAAAAGGAAUUGUUGGAUUUGCGUGAAAAUGUUAGGGAGCGAAGCGAAAAGGAUCCAAAAGCGAAACAAGCAAUAAAAGGCACGGCCGCUUCCAUUCGGUUCGUUUCAGCUCUGAAAAACUAUCACAAAUGCCAUAAACAAACACAGACUGGCGAAAAUCUAAAUAUGAGUGCGGAAAAUAUCGAAUUCAAAAUGCGCUACAAAAAAAAAAACAGAAAAUCUCUCUCGUCACAAAUUCGAAUGUUUGCCUCGCUGACAGAACCACUUCGCAGUGAAAAUGCUCCAAGAAUUUCACAACACAAUCAAACAAUGUGCGUGUCCCUUUUUCCGAGUAUUUCACACGCCCACCUAACAGGGCCAGUGCCUUUAAAAGAACCCAAAAGGAAUUAAAUUGGAAAAGCGUCGGAAAACGAGACGACUGGAAAAGGGUUCAAAUGUAUUUACAGUCGGGUGUAUCCACAGAGGCAUCCUGUGGGGGUCUUCACCUCCUUUCCCGAUCCCCCCGAAAAUUGUUUUGCGGCAAUGUGCAGGGAAAUGCAGAGAAUACUCCAAGUAGCCCGCAGCGACCAGACAGGCAAAAAACAUUCUCGCCCCAAACAGAAAUAAAAAAAUAAAAAAAUAACUAAAACCAGAACAAAAACAGAUACAACAAAAUUUAGCCGCAAGAUUCGAGACUUGACCGCCGCUCCCCAUUUGUUGGGGCUUCUUUUCUCACUUUUUAUUUUUCUGCGGGCACGCGUGUCGUAAAAAUUUAAUUAAAAAAUAAUUUUGCUAACAAUAAAAAUCAACACUCAGCCAGUGGAUGAUAAUGAUGAUGUUACAAAAGAACUGGCCUAACCGCAGGCUAUAUAAUGAUUAAGCAUACGCCAUGGUGUCCAGGCGAUUGCUACCACGCCCAUUAGCCGUGUCAAAAUGUGCGAAUUAUGGGACUGAAACAGCGGGCAUUUACGGCCGGGCUCUUACUUUCGGUUUAGUUGGCUUUGGGCCGCAUUCAAGGCGAAUCUGGGCACUUUAGUGUCAGGCCGAACGAAAUUAUGAUGACGACUCUUUAUUGGGCCCAGAGCCAUUGUCUGCCCCGGCUAUUGCUCCUCCUCCUGCUCCUGCUGCUGCUCCUGCUCCUGCUCCAGCUCCUGUCGUCCUUGUUCUUGUUGUCCUGACAGCUGAAGUGGCCCGCCCGGAUGCCUGGAUGCCUUGAUGUCUGAAUGCCUGAGUGCCUGGCUGACUUUCCCUUUCUCUUGACUCCCCCCGCUUGUCGAGUCAAUAAAAAUUCAGUAAAACGCUCUCGACAUAGGCUCAAGGAUUAUUAUUGCUACUUUAUGACAGUUUAUGUAUUUUUUUCCCUUUGUGUGUGUCUGGGGCUAGUGACAACGCAGAUUUAAAAGGUUAUAUACACAGGAAUAUGGUCGGGGUUGCAGGAUGGCUAGAUGGUUAGCUGGGUAUAGACAGCCCAACUUGUAAAGUGUUCGGAACGCAAAUUGCUUUCCUGGGACGACUGCCAAGUGGAACGUUUUGUAGUCAAUUUCACAGAUAAUUGGAAUGCCUAGAGGAUAUGGGGCGUUGAAAUAUUUACCAAAUCAUUCGAUAUUCUCGCUUAACAAAUUUUACCUUAGCCGAGAAAACCUUAUGUAGUGUUUAAUAUGUAUUUAACAUUAAAUUUUAUUUAAAAAGCACUUAUGUCAUAGAUGUAUAUUUUGUGAUAUCAUAAAAGUCAUGCAACUAAAUUUUCCAUUAUUAGAAUAGGUUAACCUGCUCAUUGUUACUCUUGUAAAGAUUUAAAAUCACUAGUUGGAUUUGAGAGUUUAGAAUCCCCUUACAACCGCAAACUUUAAUACACAUUUAAUUUUAUAAAGGGGUUGUUUGCCAGCUUAAUGCAGUAACUCAAACAAAAUACUCCUUCAGAAACCGAAAGCAAUAAACUUCUAGCCGACCCAAAAAACCCAAUGACAACAAAGGCAUGGCCCGCACAAAAAAUUAACCAAACUCUGGGCAAACUUUGCCAACAAGCAGCAAUAAAUGCAACCAACGUGGCCAAGCUAAUUAUGCGCUUCCUGCAGGGGUUUGGUAACGAAAACAAGAGGAACAGGCCAAAUCUGCUCGGAAAGACAAAAGCUCUAACCUCAAACUUUAACUUCUCCGACUUUUGGCCCAAUUAUGGCCACGUUUCAAUGUCGAGUCAUAAAAUUUGCAUAUUUCCCGAGCCAAAGCGAUUUCAAUGCUUUUUGCCGCUCAUUUCGUACGAUUUUUUGCUUUUUGUCGUUUGCUGUUUUCUGUUUUUAUUUUCGAGGAAAAUUUUAAGCUGGCCAAAUACGUUGACACCUUCAUUUUAAUACGGCCAAGGGGCGGGGCUCCGAGGGGUUGGCCAGCAGAAGAAAACUCGCUGCUAAUUGCAGUGUCGAGGCUCAAAGCAAAUGGCUUAAUUACCUUGUAUUCCCCGGUUGUUGUUUGACCUUUGGGGACAAAGUUCAUUUGCAUAAUUUGGCUGGGUUUUUAAUUUUUCGGCUUAGCAUUUCCCUGGCAAUUCUGCACGUAACAUUUGCAUAACCAGAAUCUGCACGCGAGGCAAUCAGCAUAAUUCCCCCCACUGCAAACAUAUUGACCCGAAAAUCACUGCACCACCGCCGGAGUGAAAACAAAUAUCUUUUAUCGCAGCUAGAAGUAAAAAAAAAA
rnacentral:sRNA from 1 species